GCAUGAGCCUGGCCCAUGGUAGUGAGAGUGAGGAAUCUUAACCACUAGACCACCAGGGCUGGAAUUCCUUUAAUUAAGUCAUAAAGCAAAUAUUGGGUAGAGAACUGUGACAUUCUGCUAUUUUCUCCAUUUGAUUUCUCAUUUUGAUUUCUGUGUAGUAUAGUAACAGAUGCACAACAAGCAGUGAAUUUAGUUCUUAAUACCUGUUGUGUAGUUCAACCCCAGAUGAUAGGGGAGAAACUGACUAUAGCUUAGGAAACAGUAUUGUUGUUGGGGCUCUGUAGUGAUAUUAAUAAAUCAGUAGUCAGGAGGCUGACUCUUAUCUUACGGUAGGAGUCCGAAGUCCCUGAUCUACAGGCUUUGACUCUUUGCUUGGAAGAAGAUGAAACAAUAUCUCCUUUUACAGAAAGUCAGUAAUUAAUGAUAAAUUAUUUAAAUGACGGCAGAUUGCCUUUGGCAUUCACCUUGAGUGCAUGCACUACAAGCAGAUGAGUCGUUUAAAAGAAUAUCUAACCUUCUUUAUUGGGAGAAAGGAUGUAUUCGUUAAUUAUUCACUAAACACAGAUUGAGCACCUAGUAUGUGUUAGGCUCUGCACACGGUGCUGUAUUUCAGCGAGGAAUCAGACAUGGUCCCUACCUUUAAGACACUCACCAUCUAGUGGAAGGGAAAGAUAGAUCAACAGCUGAUGCUACAUGCAUCCCAAUAUCAUGUUCUUUGUAAUAGGUGUUAUAACCAGAAUAAAUAAUGUGGAAAACAUGGCGAUAUGCCCAAGAAGUCAGAUAAGGAGGGUUAUAGAAUAAAAAUCUAUUUAAUAAUAAUAAUACUUAGAAAGUACAGAAUUUAUAUAUGGGAUUUUUGGUGCAGAAGGAGCUGAAGCAAAGAGUUGGACAGAAGUUAGAGUUAUUGAGGCAGAAGGACCUAGCUAAUGGAUGCAGGGGCAGAGAGGAGCUAUCUAGGAGUCAGUCUAGAAGGGAACUUGCCUUCAGGGCUAUGCUAGACAAAGCAGGCUGCAGAUCCUGGAAGAAGCUGAUGACAAAGGAACACACAUUCUCCCAUCCAUAGGAACCUCCGGGAGAGCCAGCAGAAGCCUUAGUCUCUUCCCCAAGGAAUCAGAGGAGGAGUGGGCAGAUCUGGAUGGCUACCCUUUAUAGCCCUGCUUACGCAUCCUCAUGUCACCUUCAGAAGCCUUGAUCAGGCUUAUAUGGUGAGAUAUACAUGAUAUAAAUGCCACAAAAACAUGUGGAAUUUCUCUUGCAUUUGUCUUAAUCUUACAACAGCCUUAGCUAGGAGACAUGUCCAAUGGUGGAGGGAGAGGGAACCAAAACCCUAAGUUUAUAUUCUUAACUUUGAGCUUAAAAAUGUUGAUCUAAAUGAGAGAUACAAAGAUUUUGGAAUAAAAUAUUUGAUAAACUUUUUAUUUCCUCUUCUCACAAUGCUGCAAUGUUUUAGUUUGGGGCAAGGUGGUGUUCCUGAAUUUGGCUGAGGUUAAAUUUUAAAUGAUGGAGAAAUCACAGAGUUACUUGAGUAAUCCUAGAGAAACCUAGAGAAAUAGGUCUCAAGGUAGAAAUUAAGUCCAAUUUUAGGAAAACAGAGAAAGCAACAUUUUUGCACACUAGAAUUUGUGACUUGAGGAAGUCGCGUCAGCUAAACUUACUUUCAAAGGUCAGUCAGGUGGCCAUAUGUAAUUUCGUGGACAUUCAUAGCCCCAAAUUUUCCCCGUCUCUUUUCUGAUGCCCUCAACUUUUUUUAAAACUACAAAAUGUGUUUCAUUCUACAAUAGGGUCUUUGUUUCACUAGAUACCAAGAGUUUCCAUUAAAAUGCGAUUAAUUUGUCAGUCAAUUGGGAAGCACAACUAAUUGAUUAUCAAGGCCUCUCCUAUGUUAAUUUGUAAAAGGAGAUGAAGAUAUCAACACUUGAGGAUCUGGGGGUCAACAGCGAGGAAAGAGUCAGGGGAGGAAGAGGCAAAUGUAUCCUCCCAGAGGGAGGGGUCCCUGAGGUGUUCUUUUGGAGCAAGCAGUUCUCUCUUCCAUGAUGCAUGAAGAUGUUUCCUUCUAACAAACUAAUUUCUGGGGACUUGUGUGUGGGGAAAAUCACUUUAUCUGCAAAAUAGGUGCUGAAAAAUAUUAGGAACUCUGAAUGAUUUGGCUUAAAUUUUUCUUUUUGUAAGUUUUUAUUUGCUAAAGCUUUAAAGGCUCUCUCCAGGAGUAUUUUUAUUUGGCUUUAUAAUAAUUUGCAUCUGAAAUCCUGACUCCUUGCAAAUAAAAUGCUGUGAUUAUGGGAAUUGAUGGUAUGCAGAAUAAUGUGUCUAGCCCUGCCCAGCUAGGUGUAAAUAGGGUGUCCCACCCUGACAGUCACACUGGGUUCCCUCCAGGAGGCAGACAUGCCUGGAGAACUCUUGAGGAAGAUGGACCAACUGUCUGUUUACAUCAAGGAUUAUCUACAUCAGCGGCUCCUGAGAAAAAACUUACUCUAAAGGAAAAGAGUACAGAUUCACAAGGUUGCCCUCCAGACUCUUGUCUAGUCACAGGGGGAGGGACUGCAAUCAAGAGUGGAUGAAAUCUCAAAGAAUUGACUCACUAAAAUCUCUGUCAGACAUUGAGAGCUCAACGAAGCAAUGCUUUGUGGUCUCUGUAAUGACAGUUAGGUGAAAGGCACUUGCCCCGUUCCAAGGUGACUGUUGGAGCUCAGAGAAGUUGAGAAAUGGACAUGAUAGCCUGACAGCAAGCUUGGGAAGUCUGCCUCUGGAGAUGAGAUGCUAUACAAGGCGUCUUGUUUCAGCAGCUUCUCUUUGGUCAUGGAGUAAAAUGGCAGAAACAGUAGCUGUCACUCCUGGGAGCCUGGACCACAGGAGAGGAAAACAAACAAGAGGCCCAGUGUGGCAGCCAUGGUAGGUAAAUGGACUCAUUUCUGAGCUCAAGUGAGACAGCUCUUUGCUUCUCUGUUUCCUGUGAGAGGAAUGUGAAGAUAUGGAGGUGGGGACUGAGGAAGGACUGGCGUUCCUGCAGACUGAGUCAAGGACCUACUCUGGGGGUCCACCAAGGAGGGAUCUUGCUGUUUAAUUGUGGCUUCUGAGUGGAUAGAGAGUUGCAGUGGUCGUUGUUUGUUGUCAGUGCUUUCCAGAUGAUGGGUAAUCAGUGCCCAUGGAAGUUCACUCUGGUGCAGUGCAAAGAAUAUAGGGGAAUUUGGAAGUUUUAAUUAGCUUCUCCUGGCUUCAGCUUCUUCAUCUGUAAAAAUGAGAUGACUCAACGUGAGUGUGCAACAGAAUCAUCUGCAGAACUUAAAACAAAAAACAACAGCUACUGGAGCCUCAUAAGUACCAAGUUGGGUAAGAUGCACGUGCAUUUCAAGAGCUCCAUAGGUGUGUCCUCCACUGAACUCGACUUUUCUACAGGUUCUCUUCCACUUGAAAAUACUAUUUUUAAUCACAUAUUUGUACAUGUUGCUUAUGAGAAAUUAAAUUGGCACAAGAUAUAUUAAACGCCGUAAGAAUUUGCCUGCCUUUUAACUUAAUGAGUUCUUUUGUAGGAAUUUCUUCCUCAGAAAUUACGUCAUGUACACAAACAUAUAUAUUCAAGAAUAUUCAUUCUUGAUUGUAAAAACAAACUGUUGAAACAAUAAAAGUGAUUAACACUAAGAUCUUAUUUAUGGAUAAAUAAUGGUAUAUCACUACAACAAAAUACCAUGUAGUCAUUGAAAGUUAAAUUAUAAGAGAAUAAUUAGUGAUGUGGAAAAUUUUCAUGAGAUAUUUGUAAAAUGAAGAAAAGCAGAUUUUAAAGUGUAUGUGAGUAUAAUCAUGUGUGAUUAUUAACAUGUGUGAGAAUUAUGCUGCCUGAAAGAAGUGAGACAUGAAAGAGUAUAUAUUGCAUGAUUCCAUUUAUAUAAAACUAGAAACAACAAAUCUAAUCUAUAGUGACAUAAAGCAGAUCGGGGUUGCCUGAAACUGAAACAGGGAGUGGAGAGGCGGAUGGACUGGGAAGGGCUGGAGACACAAGGCAACUUUUUGAAGUGAUGGGAAUGCUUUUCAUCUUGAUUGUGAUGGUUGCACAAGCGUAUACAUUUCAACACUGGAAAUUGGUACAUUUUAUUGUAUGGAAAUAAUACUUCAACUAAAAAUAUAGAGAGAAACUAUGUAUAAAGUUCUCUAUAAAGUGUUUUCUUAAAAACACCUAAAAUGUUAACUGUUA
rnacentral:lncRNA from 1 species